GGCAGCACGGGAGCAAUCCUGGUGGCGAGUGGCGAACGGGUGAGUAAUAUAUCGGAACGUGCCCAGUCGUGGGGGAUAACGCAGCGAAAGCUGUGCUAAUACCGCAUACGAUCUAUGGAUGAAAGCGGGGGACCGUAAGGCCUCGCGCGAUUGGAGCGGCCGAUAUCAGAUUAGCUUGUUGGUGGGGUAAAAGCCCACCAAGGCGACGAUCUGUAGCUGGUCUGAGAGGGCGACCAGCCACACUGGAACUGAGACACGGUCCAGACUCCUACGGGAGGCAGCAGUGGGGAAUUUUGGACAAUGGGCGCAAGCCUGAUCCAGCAAUGCCGCGUGCAGGAUGAAGGCCUUCGGGUUGUAAACUGCUUUUGUACGGAACGAAACGGCUCUUUCUAAUAAAGAGGGCUAAUGACGGUACCGUAAGAAUAAGCACCGGCUAACUACGUGCCAGCAGCCGCGGUAAUACGUAGGGUGCGAGCGUUAAUCGGAAUUACUGGGCGUAAAGCGUGCGCAGGCGGUUAUAUAAGACAGAUGUGAAAUCCCCGGGCUCAACCUGGGACCUGCAUUUGUGACUGUAUAGCUAGAGUACGGUAGAGGGGGAUGGAAUUCCGCGUGUAGCAGUGAAAUGCGUAGAUAUGCGGAGGAACACCGAUGGCGAAGGCAAUCCCCUGGACCUGUACUGACGCUCAUGCACGAAAGCGUGGGGGAGCAACAGGAUUAGAUACCCUGGUAGUCCACGCCCUAAACGAUGUCAACUGGGUGUUGGGUCUUCACUGACUCAGUAACGAAGCUAACGCGUGAAGUUGACCGCCUGGGGAGUACGGCCGCAAGG
rnacentral:rRNA from 1 species